GUGAGGAAUAUUGCGCAAUGGAGGCAACUCUGACGCAGCCAUGCCGCGUGCAGGAAGAAGGCGCUACGCGUUGUAAACUGCUUUUAACCGGGAAGAAACCCCAGGACGUGUCCUGGGUUGACGGUACCGGAGGAAUAAGCACCGGCUAACUUCGUGCCAGCAGCCGCGGUAAUACGAAGGGUGCAAGCGUUAUCCGGAUUCAUUGGGUUUAAAGGGUGCGUAGGCGGAGCGUUAAGUCAGUGGUGCAAUCCUGCAGCUUAACUGUAGACUUGCCAUUGAUACUGGCGCUCUUGAGUGCGCUUGAAGUGGGCGGAAUGUGCCGUGUAGCGGUGAAAUGCUUAGAUAUGGCACAGAACACCAAUUGCGAAGGCAGCUCACUAAGGCGAUACUGACACUGAGGCACGAAAGCGUGGGGAUCGAACAGGAUUAGAAACCCUAGUAGUCC
rnacentral:rRNA from 1 species